GGGACGGGUGAGUAACACGUGGAUAACCUACCUAUAAGACUGGGAUAACUUCGGGAAACCGGAGCUAAUACCGGAUAAUAUAUUGAACCGCAUGGUUCAAUAGUGAAAGACGGUUUUGCUGUCACUUAUAGAUGGAUCCGCGCCGCAUUAGCUAGUUGGUAAGGUAACGGCUUACCAAGGCAACGAUGCGUAGCCGACCUGAGAGGGUGAUUGGCCACACUGGAACUGAGACACGGUCCAG
rnacentral:rRNA from 1 species